GACGUAGGGCGCGAGCGUUGUCCGGAUUUAUUGGGCGUAAAGAGCUCGUAGGCGGCUUGUCGCGUCGACCGUGAAAACUUGGGGCUCAACCCUAAGCCUGCGGUCGAUACGGGCAGGCUAGAGUUCGGUAGGGGAGACUGGAAUACCUGGUGUAGCGGUGAAAUGCGCAGAUAUCAGGUGGAACACCGAUGGCGAAGGCAGUGAUCUGGGCCAGUACUGACGCUGAGGAGCGAAAGCGUGGGGAGCAAACAGG
rnacentral:rRNA from 1 species